UUGGGAUCUGCUUUUGUUAAGUGCGGCAAUAAGUAAGAGUACUCUGGCCCUUUAGUUCAGAGUGGACAUAGAGCCCGUAGUGCCUAAAUGUAACUGUAAAAUUACCUGCUGCCUGAGAACCCCUAUUUGUUUCUAUUUAAAACCCCUUCCCCAUUCAUUCUUUUUUGUUACUUUGUUGAAAAGGCAUAGUUUCCACUAAAAUAUAUAGUCCUUUUCUCCAAGGGGGAUACUUUGUUUUCACUUAUGUGGAUGGAAACCUGUGAAAACAAUACGGCCAUAAUUGUAUGCAUGUCGAUUUAACCCUACAGCCUCACGGCCAAUGUGCUGCUAGUGUUGGCCUCUUUUGGGUUGCUGCGCACUAGCAAACUACAGGGCUUCUUACGGACUCUGAAGGUUACCUAAGCUAAUGACGCACUGACUUGAAAAUAUGUUGCUUCCAGCAUAUGUGUGGUUAUAUUAAAUCCAAAUUGUAUUUCCGUCAUCUGUGUAACGGUGUCAAGUUGAAAGGAGUUCAACAUGCAAAAACUAAAAAAUCGGAAUCGGCUUUAUUGGCCGGGUAUGUGUACAAGAGGACUUUGACUCUGGAUUAUGAUUUUGACUGUUUCAAUGUGAAACAUAACAUGUAACAGAUUUAACAGUGGCUAUAUUUACAACAAUGAAACUUCAAUGGAAAAAGAUGUCAAUUCACAAAAACUAAUGUUCAUGUUUCAGUUAAGCUAUCGAAGCUCUCCGAUGCCCAACUUUUGUACUUUUGACUCAACUUUAUUAAAACAAAGUGUGUGCGUUGGUGUGUACAUGACAACCUUAGCUUGGGAAGUGGCGUACGCUCGUUUCCAGCCCUGUUUCGUACGUACACACUAAAUGACCCCUGACCCGGUGAGGCAUGGACUCGUCAUGAGGCAUGUUCUGACACUUUUUUUAUUUCAGCAUUAACUUCUUCAGCUGUUUGACCUACAGUUGCUCCUCUAUUGGAGGCCAGUUUCAGCUACACACAUGCAUCAGAGAGCCUUAGUCACAAAUGACCCUGUCACCGGCUCAUGGCUUUUCCUUCAUUGGAGCACUUCUGAAAGGUACUGACCACUGCAGACCAGUUUGGAGAUGCUCUGACCGUCGUCGUCUAGCCAUCACAGUUGGGUCCUUGUCAGAGUCGCUGCCCAUUUUUCCUGCUUCUAACAGUUCAACUAUGAGGACACAAUGUUCACCUGCUGUCUGAUCUGUCCCACCCACUGACGGGUGCCAUGGAAAUGAACACCUGGGUGAAAGUCCGGUUUCUGGAGCUCCACCUUCUCACUCUGACCUUUUCUGCACCUACCUUCAAAAAUGACGCCACAGGGCUACCGGCUGCGUUGAACUGUGACACUGAGGAGCCCCUCAGUGUGUUACAAAGUGACACCGACGGAUCUUAACCAAGGCAUCAUUUGCGACAACUUGGGAGUGAGAAUGCGUUGGAUUCUGAGCACUCUGUACCUGUACUGUGGAAAUGUGAGAUGACCAUGUCAGGUUUUCUGCAGGAACCUCAAACUGUUCACCUGCUCCACCUCAGCUCCACUGGGGUGUGUCCUUACAUCCUUCUUAAAAUCAACAACCAGCUACUUGAUUUUGCAGGGAUCCCAUCAAUCUGCAUCCGAGUAACAUGACUUUAAAACUUGAGUUUUCAUGCAGGUAAUUCGCCGAUCUUUCCCAUUAACAUCUGUGGCUAGCAUAUGCGUCGGCACCUUGAACGGUUAUGAAGUCACCAGCGAGGCUCACUUUGGUCAGGUUUAGGUUUCACACAUGACCUGUGGGAAAGUUCUGUCUGUUUAACCCAUCCACCCACCCCAACCAACUCCAUUCCUUCUCUUUAUACUACGUCACGUACUCCCCGUACAAUAAAAGCACAGGCUAGUAUUGGCGUAUCACCGCCACACAAAAUUGGACUUUGCCGUAUGCAUAUCCAAACUUUUUGUGCACAAACUCGGAUUUUUCACUUGCCAAUAUUAUAUGUUCACACUUUAAGAGCAUUUUUCAUUUGAAAACCACAAAAUUUGUAUCCAGAUUCAAACACAUUACUUGUAUACCAAUGAACAUCCUUUAUAAAUAGAUUUAGAAUAGAUAUAAAUACAGUUUAAGAUUACUCACUUUUAAUCUAAUAUUGGCUGUGAUUUUUAGAAACAACUUGGCCACUAAACAGGAAAAUAACAAAAGUCCAAUAAAUAUGAAGACCUGCUUCAGAGGAAAGGCUCAUGUAUUAAUUAACUUAUAUUGACUCUAUAAACAAUUUAUUAUAGAUAAGGUUUUGCCCGCUCAGAUGGCACUGAUAUCUGGGCUGGCCCAUAUUUGGGUGGAGUCGCCUUAAAAUAAAGGAUUAGGUCUCUGUUUUCACAGACAGACUUGGAGAAGACACCAGCGAGACGACAUUCACAGGGAAACCACAGGUUGGACACGAAAAUCACCACUUAAGUGCUGAAAAACACGUUAAAAAUGGGGAACGUACCGUCAGAAAGUAACAUGGGCGAAAACCUGAGAUGCUGCAAGUGUGAUAUAGUCCUGCCUCCGUGCAAAUCCUUCGAUGAUUUCCACAAAAGUACUGUUCAUGGGCAGCUUGUGUAUGUGUUCAAUGGAGGAGAAUACUACAGACCGGUUGGCGCUGAUAAUAUGUACGAGUGUGAAAACUGCUUUAAUAAGCCAAUCAGGGAUCAAGAAGAGGAGAGACAGAGAGAGGAGGAGAGACAGAGAGAGGAGGAGACCGGGUUACCAGCAGAAUGUAAUAUGGGCGAAAACCUGAGAUGCUGCAAGUGUGAUAAAGUCCUGCCUCCGUGCAAAUCCUUCAAUGAUUUAUAUGUAACUACUCUUAAUGAGCAGCGAGUGUAUGUGUUCAAUGGAGGUGAAUACUACAGACCAUAUGAAGUCUUUAAGCACGAGUGUGCAAAAUGCUUUGAGAGUAAAUGAGGAGAGAGGAGACUGGAGAAAGUCCUAAACGCUGUCUGAGAUUAGAUCAGACAUUAGAUUUAAUGAGGAGCCUUUGGGGAUUUUUUACAGUCCAAAUCUUGUUUCGACUGUUUUGACAUCAAAAAGGA